CGGAGGCAGCGGAGUUGCAGCGCGCGCCGCUCGGUGAGUGUGUCUCCCGGGCGCCGAGAGCGGGGAGGGGGGAGGCGGAGGACGAGCCGGAGCAGGAGGAGCAGGAGCCCGAGCCGGAGCCCGAGCAGGAGCAGGAGCAGGAGGGGGAGAAUGCCCGGAGCCUCGGCCGCUGCCGCCGCCGCGAUGCUCCCGGCUCAGGAGGCUGCCAAGCUCUACCACACCAACUAUGUGCGGAACUCGCGGGCCAUCGGCGUGCUGUGGGCCAUCUUCACCAUCUGCUUUGCCAUCGUCAACGUGGUGUGCUUCAUCCAGCCCUACUGGAUUGGCGACGGCGUGGACACUCCGCAAGCCGGCUAUUUCGGGCUCUUCCACUACUGCAUCGGCAACGGCUUCUCCCGGGAGCUGACCUGCAGGGGCAGCUUCACGGACUUCUCCACGCUGCCCUCGGGCGCCUUCAAAGCCGCCUCCUUCUUCAUCGGCCUCUCCAUGAUGCUCAUCAUCGCCUGCAUCGUCUGCUUCACCCUCUUCUUCUUCUGCAACACGGCCACCGUGUACAAGAUCUGUGCCUGGAUGCAGCUCACCUCCGCUGCCUGCCUUGUGCUUGGCUGUAUGAUUUUCCCUGAUGGCUGGGAUUCUGAUGAAGUAAAACGGAUGUGUGGAGAAAAGACAGACAAGUACACUCUUGGAGCUUGUUCUGUCCGCUGGGCAUACAUCCUGGCGAUUAUUGGGAUUUUGGAUGCCCUGAUCCUCUCGUUUUUGGCAUUUGUUCUUGGUAACCGACAAGACAGCUUGAUGGCAGAAGAACUGAAGGCAGAAAACAAAGACGACGGAAAUGCUUAAGCAAACUAAGGUAGUGUGAGACGUCACCAUUCUGUACAGAGUGAUGCAGCCAGGAACACAUUCUGCUAAGCCAAUAUUCUCUAGAAUGAGCACAAAACAAGUCAAAUAACAGCUAAACAAAUCAAACAACAGCUUUUGUACAUCAACAUCCAAAAGGAAGAUGCUUGGGAAAGAUCAGAGUACAGAGAUGGAUACGGACAAGAGUGAAGCACCCUCUCGUGAAAGCAACUUCUAAAUCUAGAUGGGCAGAGAUGGGAGUGUUUUCUGGAAAGAGAUACAAUCAUGGAUCAAACACCACCAGCUCAUUGGAAACUGUCAUUGAAUAAGAUCAGAUAACAUUCAUGAGAAAUCAUAUUCAGGAAAUACAUUGGGAAAGAGAAAUACACUUGUGCUAGCAUUAACGUGUAAAAUAAUGUAUGUACUGAGGUUUGUAAACUGUCCUUUUUUAAUCAAACUGAAAACAAAAGCUUUAAUCUUUCAACGUCAUUUUUAAAAAAGGCAGUCUAUCUAAAUUAUUACGAUCUCAGUAAAGCACCAUUUGUUAAGCAAGUAUCUUAGAAAAUGCCUCUGAAUGUUUGUUUUCACAGGAUCCUCGCUAUCUGGGUCCCCAUCUCUGCCAUUCAUUUCACCAUGUAAUUAGUUACAGCCACUCUGUUAAGAGAUGGACUGGUACAAACUUUUUACCAAGUCUUUGUUCAGUUUAAUCUGUCCGUACAAGUUAUUACUGAGAAAGUGUUUUUGACACAUACUACUACUCCAUUCAGCUGUAUAUUACAGGAAGUACAUCUUUACACCAUAGGAUCCUGAGCAACAUAGAAUUCCUUGUCUUUCAGGAAAUAAUGCCAAGGAAUACUGAAAAAUCUAGAAAGCUCAUUUUCACCAUGGAUGCUCACAUGUAAUAUAUAGGCUUCUAUCAAAUAAACACUUUUUCUAAUUCUCCCUAGUAUAUGCAUAGGAAUUUAAUACACUUUAUAAAUAGGUAUCUAAGAUAUCUCCUUUUCCCCUUCUAUUUCUUUAUCAUACAUGCCAUCAGAAAUUUAUAUCCUUUUAUUUACUAACAUCAUUUUUGUUUUUUUAAAAAAAUGUUCCAUUAAUCCUAUUUCUAAAUGAUAGUAAAUGGUACUAGCAAAAAUAAUAAUUUAAUAGCCUUAGAAAUAAAUGAAUAUAUACUUAUACAGGUCAAAGAAACUUGGUAAGAGUAAGUUGACUUUUUGUUUACUAAUGUUGAUUUCAAAAAAUACUCAGAUUAUUGGGGUCGGUUAGCAUUUGAAAGUAGUUAUAACUGAUCAGUUGUCUUCAGUGAUCUUCCACUCCCAGGCUUCCCCAUGCCCCAUCAUCCUCACUACAUAUCCUACAAUACACAACAGCAGAAAAUAUUUCAUUGUGAAGUAGCCAAUAGCUUGAGAAUGAACACAAGCUAAACUGUACAUGCAGAAAUUAUCAGUGUUAAGUCAAAUCACGUUCUUUACUUGAGCAAAAAAUACAAGCAUACAGAAUGCUUUCAUUCAUAGACUCAAAAAUAAGAUCAACUUAGCAAAUAAUAUCAGAUAGAGGAUAAGACAGGAAGGUGGAUUUCUCUUACCCUCUAUUUUUUAGGACAGCACACCAAAUUUAGCUAAAUGCUUCUGGUAUUGACCAUCUUUUCACCAAAAAUUAAAUGAUGUUUCAAAUGACUGAAAGUCUAUUACAGGUAUGCUUCAAUAAGUUAAACACAAUUCAGAGAUUUUCUUUUUGAAAAACAUGCGAAUACUUAUUAUCUCUAACUGAAGUAUUAACCAUUCUGGGAGUUAUUUGUUGCUUUAAAUAUUAGCUCUCCCACUAUAUUCAAAACACCCUCCUUACUAGAUUUAAUUACACACAACUUUUCAAGAAUCCAUAUUUUAUUUAAAGAAAGGUACCUUUCCACUUUAUCUACAACAAAAAUAAAAGGUGUUGACUUUCCUAAUCCAUACAAAUUGUGGAUUCCAUUGGGAGUCCCAUAAUAGUGAACUAAUAGUGAACUUGCAAAAUAUGAAAAAGUGCUUCCUAUCUACAUGAAAACACUUUUUAAAAGUUUCUUUUCCCAUUAAACCUAAGUGUAAUUUAACAUGCCACAGUGCUCUGAAGAUGGGUCAUUGAUGAUGUACCAUUUGUACAUAGAUAAUACACAUGUAAAUCACUAAAUGUUAAGUAUAAGAAGUUGUUUUUAUCUUUUUUAAGAAAAAUAAAUAAAGUGACUCCCUUU